rnacentral:rRNA from 1 species
GAGUUUGGGAGCUGGCCCUUAUUAUABUUUGGGCAUGUGCACACCUUCCUCUUUCAUCCCACACACACCUGUGAACCUGUGAGACAGAUGGGGAAUUUACUUGCUGCUUUUUGCAAUACAAAGGCAAUAGGUUAUUGGACCCUCUGUCUACUCAAUUAAUAUAAAAUCAAUUUAUUUUAAAACGAAUGUAAUGGAUGUAACACAUCUCAUACUAAGUUUCAACAACGGAUCUCUUGGCUCUCGCAUCGAUGAAGAACGCAGCGAAAUGCGAUAAGUAAUGUGAAUUGCAGAAUUCAGUGAAUCAUCGAAUCUUUGAACGCACCUUGCGCUCCUUGGUAUUCCUUGGAGCAUGCCUGUUUGAGUAUCAUGAAUUCUUCAAAGUAAAUCUUUUGUUAACUCAAUUGGUUUCACUUUGGUAUUGGAGGUCUUUUGCAGCUUCACGACCUGUUCCUCUUUGUGCAUUAGCUGGAUCUCAGUGUUAUGCUUGGUUCCACUCGGCGUGAUAAAUUAUCUAUCGCUGAGGACACUGUAAAAGGUGGCCAAGGUAAAUGCAGAUGAACCGCUUCCAAUAGUCCAUUGACUUGGACAACACCUUUAUGAUCUUAUGUCAACAGGAA